rnacentral:rRNA from 1 species
GACGAACGCUGGCGGCGUGCCUAAUACAUGCAAGUAGAACGCUGAAGGAGGAGCUUGCUUCUCCGGAUGAGUUGCGAACGGGUGAGUAACGCGUAGGUAACCUGCCUGGUAGCGGGGGAUAACUAUUGGAAACGAUAGCUAAUACCGCAUAACAGUAGAUAUUGCAUGAUAUCUGCUUGAAAGGUGCAAUUGCAUCACUACCAGAUGGACCUGCGUUGUAUUAGCUAGUUGGUGGGGUAACGGCUCACCAAGGCGACGAUACAUAGCCAACCUGAGAGGGUGAUCGGCCACACUGGGACUGAGACACGGCCCAGACUCCUACGGGAGGCAGCAGUAGGGAAUCUUCGGCAAUGGACGGAAGUCUGACCGAGCAACGCCGCGUGAGUGAAGAAGGUUUUCGGAUCGUAAAGCUCUGUUGUAAGAGAAGAACGAGUGUGAGAGUGGAAAGUUCACACUGUGACGGUAUCUUACCAGAAAGGGACGGCUAACUACGUGCCAGCAGCCGCGGUAAUACGUAGGUCCCGAGCGUUGUCCGGAUUUAUUGGGCGUAAAGCGAGCGCAGGCGGUUAGAUAAGUCUGAAGUUAAAGGCUGUGGCUUAACCAUAGUACGCUUUGGAAACUGUUUAACUUGAGUGCAAGAGGGGAGAGUGGAAUUCCAUGUGUAGCGGUGAAAUGCGUAGAUAUAUGGAGGAACACCGGUGGCGAAAGCGGCUCUCUGGCUUGUAACUGACGCUGAGGCUCGAUGGCGGGGGAGCUAACUGGAUUAUAUGCCCUGGUAGUGCCAGGGCGAAUCCCCAGUGGAUAUCAGGCUUAUGGUCCGUGGAGUGUGGGGGGAAAAAACGUUACCCAUGUUUGUUCUUUAUGAGUGUGAUUAAGC